rnacentral:lncRNA from 1 species
GCAGGUGCCAUGGCAGGCUCUCCACAGAAGCGGUUGAGGAUUUGAGAAGAGGUUGCAGAUGAUCAAGGAGCGACACGUGCAGGGAUGGCUUGAAAAGGGUGAUUAGCUUCAGGUUCCAGGUGGGACCUAGUGGUAACUGAGUUGCAGGUAUUCCAUGACAGAGCUCCUUCUGCCUGGGCUGCUUUUUGGGGUGAUUGGGUUUGGGUGCUGGGCGGGGCCGAAUGGUAUAUGAGCCCCAGGCAUGCUAUCAGAGAGCUCAUUCUGCCUGGGCUGCUCCUUGAGUAGGUAAACAUUAGGAGGAACCGGUCAAAGGUAACAGCGCUUUCUGGAACCGUCAAGUUCUUGUUCGGCAACGUAGUGACUGGUUUGAUCUACUUCACAGAUGGAGAGGCAAGUGGACUGCUCUCUUUGAAAUAAUAAAAUUGAAAACAUAAAGUUU